AGCUUCGAUAGAUCAGUCACCCUCCAUCAGGAACAGGUGGAUUGAGUCCAAUCUUUUACUGGUCCCAGAUAUCUGAUUGUGUUUGUAAUGGCUUCUUCACCUAGCUGUUUGCCUGUUCCAGUGGCCAUUACAAAGAAUUAUGCUGAGUGUCAUUUUUGGUUUUUGGAGUUGACAGAAGCCAUGGCUCAAAAUUUCAAGCUCUUGUGGCAAUGCAGGUUAGCAUAUUUCCCUCCUAUUCUUCUGUGUUUGAAUUUUCUUUUUGUUUCUUAAGUCCUAUACACAUGAUCAAAUAUCAUGCUCUGAGGAUUGCAGAAUUACUGAAUGGCAGAUUAUAGAAUGCAUGUGAGUGCUUGG